CUAGCGUUGUUCGGAAUUACUGGGCGUAAAGCGCACGUAGGCGGCUUUGUAAGUUAGAGGUGAAAGCCCAGGGCUCAACCCUGGAAUUGCCUUUAAGACUGCAUCGCUUGAACAUCGGAGAGGUAAGUGGAAUUCCGAGUGUAGAGGUGAAAUUCGUAGAUAUUCGGAAGAACACCAGUGGCGAAGGCGACUUACUGGACGAUUGUUGACGCUGAGGUGCGAAAGCGUGGGGAGCAAACAGG
rnacentral:rRNA from 1 species